AUAACAAUACAGGACUCUUUAGAGGCCCUGUAAUUGUAAUGAGUCCACUUGAAAUCCUUUUACUAUGAUCAAUUGGAGGGCAUGUCUGGUGCAGAGCGACUGAUCCAU